rnacentral:rRNA from 1 species
GACCAGACUUGGGCCCGGUGGAUCAUCCAGCGUUCUCGCUGGUGCACUCCGCCGGGUUCAGGCCAGCAUCAGUUCGCCGCGGGGGAAAAAGGCUUCGGGAACGUGGCUCCUACGGGAGUGUUAUAGCCCGUUGCAUAAUACCCUGGGGCGGACUGAGGUUCGCGCUCCGCAAGGAUGCUGGCGUAAUGGUCAUCAGCGACCCGUCUUGA